GUGACGAAGCGACGCCGCGUGUGGAAGAAGGCCUUCGGGUUGUAAACCACUGUCGGGAGUUAGGAAAUGUAAGGGUGUUAAUAGUAUCCUUACUUGACUAAGGCUCCGGAGGAGGCCACGGCUAACUCUGUGCCAGCAGCCGCGGUAAUACAGAGGCGGCAAGCGUUGUUCGGAAUUAUUGGGCGUAAAGAGCACGUAGGCGGCCUUGUAAGUCAGUUGUGAAAGCCUUCUGCUUAACGGAAGAACAGCAGCUGAUACUACAAGGCUAGAGUGCGGAAGGGGAGAGUGGAGCUUCUGGUGGAGCGGUGAAAUGCGUAGAUAUCAGAAGGAACACCGGCGGCGAAGGCGACUCUCUGGUCCGUAACUGACGCUGAGUGUGCGAAAGCUAGGGGAGCAAACGGGAUUAGAUACCCCGGUAGUCCUAGCCGUAAACGAU
rnacentral:rRNA from 1 species